rnacentral:rRNA from 1 species
UGGGGAAUUUUGCGCAAUGGACGAAAGUCUGACGCAGCAACGCCGCGUGGGUGAUGAAGGUCUUCGGAUUGUAAAACCCUGUCGUCAGGGACGAAGGUUGGGGCCCUAAUACGGUUUCAGCUUGACGGUACCUGGAGAGGAAGCCCCGGCUAACUCUGUGCCAGCAGCCGCGGUAAUACAGAGGGGGCAAGCGUUAUUCGGAAUUACUGGGCGUAAAGGGCGCGUAGGCGGUUUUUUAAGUCGGAUGUGUAAUCCCCGAGCUCAACUUGGGAACUGCAUCCGAAACUGGGAAGCUAGAGUACUGGAGAGGGUGGUAGAAUUCCACGUGUAGCGGUGAAAUGCGUAGAGAUGUGGAGGAAUACCAGUGGCGAAGGCGGCCACCUGGACAGUAACUGACGCU